GGAGGGAAAAAUCGUCUGCUGCGAAAAUGUACAAGAAAAGCCAGAAUAACUGUUUCGAACAUUUUGGAACCCUGAACAGGGCAUUUUAAUUUUUACUAUUGAUUUUGCUGCCGCCGAUUGCUGGCAACAGCCUUCCAAAAACACUGGCUCAGAAAAAAUCCCAUCGGAAUGACGUUGAACGCUACAACUUGGUCCUUCCGGGUCCACUCAGCUCGAGCACCUCCGCCGUCAGGUAUUUCCGGUUUGGUUGACUUGUCAUCAGCUUUCAUCAUUUGCUGCUGCGUCGUCCCUUUCACGUUGAAAGUCGAGAGUGAAAUGAUUGCGAAAAUGAGAAAUCGACUUAUAUUUAUAGCUUUUUGUUUUGGCAUUUGGGCCACGAAGAAAUCUUGGUGGCGAAUGCAGUAGAAACGGCAAAGUGUGCAAAAGGGGCGGAGCACACGUUGACGCGUUUUGCGCACAAAACCAGUGUUCCUAGUGAAAAUUUUAUCAUUUCUCUGUUGACCACCGUGGAAGAAACAUGGUUCGGACGAGUGCUGUGGUAAAAUCGACUGCUGCUGGUUCAGCCUUUUGCCAAGAAGAUCGGCAAGGUCAAGGCGAAGGAGGCUAUCGUGAGGAGCAUCUUCAAGCAGCUGGCCAGAGAAGCGGCCCAAAUGACGUACUACACAUCGCAGAAGACCAGGUCCUCCAGGGUGAUCCAGUCUACCGUCAGACUUCUGCUGCCCGGAGAGUUGGCCAAGCAUGCCGUUUCCGAGGGGACAAAGGCCGUGCGGUUCACGAUCCAUGGAAAACAAACGGCCCUUUUCAGGGCCACCAUUUUCUCACGAAAGAGUAAAUUCUUGAAAAUUCUGAGGUGGAUUCAACCUGUAUGGUAGAAUUAAGGGGUAUCGUUCGGGUUUUACACAAUAAUUAUUGAACUGAAAACAAGUUUAACAAUAAUAAGUUCUAGGAUGCCAUUUGAGAAGGGCGCAUGAGUAUUUUGAAAGCUGAAAUUUAGUUUGUUUAAAAGUAAAAGUCGCGUUGAAUUCGACCUUCAGAAAUGGCCCAGUAAUUUCCGACUCCCCCCGUUGACAUUUGAUCCGACUUAUCUUUGCGAACAUUCAAAACAAAACAAAGAAGGCAAAGCACAGGAAUGACGAGUGGCAAGUGUUUUGUAAUCUUUCAUCAAAAUUCAGUGUCAGUGGACGAAAAAUUAAUCGAAAGUUAGAAAUUCAUGUAUAAAUCUCAGUUAGGUCAAGCCGGAGACGACAAUUGAGCAGUGCCGCGGGGAGGGCAAUUGGUCGAAGGUGAUCGAGUUGGCGGACGAGCUCAAGUCGGGCUAACCGCAGGUUGUUUGCGCGCAGAGAGUUUGGCCAACUUCCUGAUGGGGGAGAGCUACCUGGGAGGCCGCCAGCUUCAGUAUAUCUGUUGUAACCUCAACUAAUCGCCUUGCAGCGCGGCUACAUCCAGUAGCAGUGGGCCGAGGCGAAGCAGUGCAUCCCGAAUGUCGUUUGAACCCUGGGCGGAUCGAUCCCAACUAAACGAAGAUUUGGUUCCUGCUCGGUCAGGUCAUGGAGGCUUCGGUAGAUUGCGUGGCCACGACGCUACGUUCAACAGGACCCAAAUGACCACCAGCCCGCGUCUAACUAUAAUAUUUCCGAAGCCCUGAUCCACAUCACCAGCUCUUUACCGUUCCGCGCGGAACACCCGAUCAGUUUGCAUCUGUUUGCCCCACUCCUGACCGCAAACCGACGCCCCAAGGAAAACAUAGCUGUCGUUCAGGACGCAACCGAAGAGUUCCCCGAGCCCCGAACCUGGAUCUUUUCCACGUAAAAAGCAAUAGGUGCUGUAGCUGGCCAACGUUGGCAGUGGCACAGAGCACGACCACAAGAGCACUUCGACACGCACAACGUGCUGCAGGCAAUUAUGUGCGAGAAUUCCCGCAAGGAUUUCAACUCGAUUCAGCGAUUCGCAUGUCGUGUCCCGCACGAGCAUCCUCAGUAAGAACCCAUUCUUGCAGCGUGGUCCACCACCAGCAGCAGUGAGCCGAGGCGAAGCUGUGCAUCUUGAAGCCGGCUCGGCAAAUUCGUACUACACGAGUGUGCUCUGUGCUCUGGGCGGAUCAAUCCUGACUGCGCGUGGUUUUGGUUCCUGCUCGGUCGGGUCAUGGAUGUUUCGGCGGAUUUUCAGACUCCACACGAGUCCCGUCCCAAAUCGAGCACGCCCUCAGCGAAACCGCUAGCUCGUCAGUCCACGGCCUGGGCCACAGAACACGUGGAUAAACCAUUUCAAGAUCUGGCUGCUGCUGGCGAACGUGUACCUCACCAUCUAACAACGCAACGAAUCGACCAACUGUAUCCAAGAGGCGAGCCUGAGCAAUCCGGUGUUGCAUUAAAUCAUGUUCAUGCGCGGACAAAUCUACAUCUACCUCGAGGCGUGCCAUGGGCCAUGAAACUGCCCGAGAAUUUGGUACCUGCUCGGGCGUGUCAUUAAGGCGGAUUUUAUAGCCACGGCGCAGCAGUUCGAGCCGCCCGACCCCAUGCUUCGUUCACCUCGUUUGGAUUGGUUUCGAGUUACACUAAAACCCCCGAUUACGCUCAGACAUUACGCUUUGUAUUUGGUCGAUUUCUCUAGAACGACGAAAAUUUUUCAAAUUUUUCAAAUCAAUUUAUACGUCUUGUGCUGAUCUACAAAUUGCAUUCAAAAGAACAAAACAUUACACUGUUUUCGAGAAAUCAACCUAAAUAAAAAGCUUAACGCCUGCGCGUAAACGAGGGUUUUAGUGUAAUUGCUUCGACGUGUAAACCUGAAUGCUUAUGUUCGGAUCACUACUUGCUACUUUUUUGUAUUUUUGUAAUUGUAGUUUAAAUUAGGAACACUUUUCGGGAUUACUGAGGUGUAUUACUUCACGUUUGUUUGUGUAUAUUGUUUGCUUCAAAAAUAAAAUAUAGGAUAUUUAGAAUGACUCGCUAAUCAAAAUGAAUUUGUGUUUGAAACCCCGAAAUUAAAAGGUGCUUUUCCAGAUCCAACAAUUUAGCGACGAAAAAGUAAUUCUUCAUCAAAAAUAAUUUGAAUUUCAUGCGUUUU